CCGGUAGCUCAGUUGGUAGAGCAACGGACUUUUAAUCCGUGUGUCGUGGGUUCGAAUCCCACCCGG
rnacentral:tRNA from 1 species